rnacentral:rRNA from 1 species
CAGUAGCCACGGUAAUACAGAGGGUGCAAGCGUUAAUCGGAAUUACUGGGCGUAAAGCGCGCGUAGGUGGUUUGUCAAGUUGGAUGUGAAAGCCCCGGGCUCAACCUGGGAACUGCAUCCAAAACUGGCAAGCUAGAGUACGGUAGAGGGUGGUGGAAUUUCCUGUGUAGCGGUGAAAUGCGUAGAUAUAGGAAGGAACACCAGUGGCGAAGGCGACCACCUGGACUGAUACUGACACUGAGGUGCGAAAGCGUGGGGAGCAAACAGGAUUAGAUACCCCGGUAGUCCCUGUCUCUUAUAC